GUCGAGAAUCUUCCGCAAUGCGCGAAAGCGUGACGGAGCGACACCGCGUGAUGGAUGAAGUCCUUCGGGGCGUAAACAUCUUUUAUAAAGGAGGAAAUUUUUGACGUUACUUUGUGAAUAAGGGGCUCCCAAUCUCGUGCCAGCAGGAGCGGUAAUACGAGAGCCUCAAGCGUUAUCCGGAAUCAUUGGGCGUAAAGGGUGCGUAGGUGGUUUUAUUAGUCUCCCGUUAAAACUUCGAGCUUAACUCGAAAAGAGCGGGGGAAACGGUCAAACUAGAGUAUGUGAGAGGUGUGUGGAACUCAUGGUGUAGGGGUGAAAUCCGUUGAUAUCAUGGGGAACACCAAAAGCGAAGGCAGCACACUGGCACAUCACUGACACUGAGGCACGAAACCUAAGGUAGCGAAUGGGAUUAGAAACCCCGGUAGUCC
rnacentral:rRNA from 1 species